rnacentral:lncRNA from 10 species
GAAAUCGAGACCAUCCUGGCUAACACGAAGAAACCCCAUCUCUACUAAAAAUACAAAAAAUUAGCCGGGUGUGGUGGCGGGCGUCUGUAGUCCCAGCUACUUGGGAGGCUGAGGCAAGAGAACGGCGUGAACCCGGGAGGCGGAGCUUGCAGUGAGCCGAGAUAGCGCCACUGCACUCCAGCCUGGGUGACAGAGCGAGACUCCAUCUCAAAAUAAAUAAAUAAAAUAAAAUAAUUAGCCAGGCGAGGUGGCGGGCACCUGUAGUCCCAGCUACUCGGGAGGCUGAGGCAGGAGAAUGGCGUGAACCCGGGAGGCGCAGCUUGCGGUGAGCCGAGAUUGCGCCACUGCACUCCAGCCUGGGCAACAGAGUGAGACUCUGUCUCAAAAAAAAAAAAAAAAAAGAUAUGACUUGGGAAGUGAAAUUCUCUAAUCUGAAACUUUAUUGCAAAAAUUGUGGGCAUCUAGGAGAACUGGAGUUGUGAGCAGGUCAGAAGAGAAACUUUGCUGCUUCCUUUGUCAAUGCUGUAUGGAGAGAAAUUUGAGAUGCUUUGGAUAUUAAAAGAAAGACUGGAAGGCAGAAGAUACUGAAUUAACCACACCAAUGAAGAGCGCAUGUCUUUGCAGCUCUUCUCACCAAGAAUUGGAGUCUAUUUUCUCAACUCAUUAAAUCUGAGCUGGCUGUGUGACUUGCUUUGGCCAAAAAGACUUUAGCAAAUAAGAUAUAAGCACAAGCAGAGGUUUGAAAAGUGCUGGUUCGCUGGGGCUUACUGUAUUACUGCUCUUGAAAUGCUGAGAUGACCAUGUGAAUGAAUCCAAGGAAGCCUCCUGGAAGAUGAGAAUGCUGCAUAGAAGAAAACAGAGGUCUCCAGCUGACAGCCUGCCAAACACUAGAAAUGUGAAUGAGGCCAUUCUGGAUCAUCUUGUCACCAGCUGACCUCCCAGCUGACUAUCAGUGCAUGAGCAAACCCAGAAAAGAUGAGCUGAGCCAGUCCAGUGUAGAAGAAUUGCCCAGCCAACCCACAGAAUAAUGAGCUGAAUAAAAUGUUGUUUU